rnacentral:rRNA from 1 species
CCUACGGGAGGCUGCAGUGAGGAAUAUUGGUCAAUGGACGCAAGUCUGAACCAGCCAUGCCGCGUGCAGGAAGAAGGUGCUAUGCAUUGUAAACUUCUUUUAUACGGGGGUAAUUACAUCUACGUGUAUCUGUAUGAAAGUACCGUAUGAAUAAGGAUCGGCUAACUCCGUGCCAGCAGCCGCGGUAAUACGGAGGAUCCGAGCGUUAUCCGGAUUUAUUGGGUUUAAAGGGUGCGUAGGCUGUCAGGUAAGUUAGCGGUGAAAGCUCGAUGCUCAACAUUGAAACUGCCUUUGAUACUGGCAGACUAGAGUGUAGUUGCGGAAGGCGGAAUGCGUGGUGUAGCGGUGAAAUGCUUAGAUAUCACACAGAACACCGAUUGCGAAGGCAGCUUUCUAAGCUAUUACUGACGCUGAGGCACGAAAGCGUGGGGAGCGAACAGGAUUAGAUACCCCAGUAGUC